rnacentral:rRNA from 1 species
UGGGGAAUAUUGGACAAUGGGCGAAAGCCUGAUCCAGCCAUGCCGCGUGUGUGAAGAAGGCCUUUUGGUUGUAAAGCACUUUAAGCGAGGAGGAGGCUACUUGGAUUAAUACUCUAGGAUAGUGGACGUUACUCGCAGAAUAAGCACCGGCUAACUCUGUGCCAGCAGCCGCGGUAAUACAGAGGGUGCGAGCGUUAAUCGGAUUUACUUGGCGUAAAGCGUGCGUAGGCGGCUUCUUAAGUCGGAUGUGAAAUCCCUGAGCUUAACUUAGGAAUUGCAUUCGAUACUGGGAAGCUAGAGUAUGGGAGAGGAUGGUAGAAUUCCAGGUGUAGCGGUGAAAUGCGUAGAGAUCUGGAGGAAUACCGAUGGCGAAGGCAGCCAUCUGGCCUAAUACUGACGCUGAGGUACGAAAGCAUGGGGAGCAAACAGG